rnacentral:rRNA from 1 species
UACAGGGGGUGCAAACGUUGCUCGGAAUUAUUGGGCGUAAAGCGCGCGUAGGCGGCUUCUUAAGUCGGAUGUGAAAGCCCUCGGCUCAACCGGGGAAGUGCAUCCGAAACUGAGGAGCUAGAAUUCGAAAGAGGGUCGCGGAAUUCCCAGUGUAGAGGUGAAAUUCGUAGAUAUUGGGAGGAACACCGGUGGCGAAGGCGGCGACCUGGGUCGCAAUUGACGCUGAGGCGCGAAAGCGUGGGGAGCAAACAGG